CGUAGGGGGCAAGCGUUGUCCGGAUUUAUUGGGCGUAAAGCGCUCGCAGGCGGCUCGCUACGUCAUGCGUGAAACACCCCGGCUCAACUGGGGAGGGUCGUGUGAUACGGGCGGGCUUGAGGCCAGUAGGGGGAUGCGGAAUUCCGGGUGUAGUGGUGGAAUGCGUAGAGAUCCGGAGGAACACCAGCGGCGAAGGCGGCAUCCUGGACUGGUGCUGACGCUCAUGAGCGAAAGCGUGGGGAGCGAUCCGGAUUAGAUACCCGGGUAGUCCACGCUGUAAACGAUGCGGACUAGGUGUCGGGGGUAUCGACCCCCUCGGUGCCGCAGCUAACGCGCUAAGUCCGCCGCCUGGGGACUACGGCCGCAAGGCUA
rnacentral:rRNA from 1 species